rnacentral:rRNA from 1 species
AUGUCCGAUGCUGAGGCUGGGCGUGAGUUUAUCUUGUCCCAUUUCAAUGUGACCAGCAUCCCACCGGUUUCUUUCUUCUGCAAUACACUCAAAUCUGAAGAAUUGCCUGAUGAAGACACUUUCAUCUGCUUCAUGUGUAUUGCCUUGUCCACUUUCUUGUGUCCAAACCUUUCUCCUAGUCCCAAAUAUCUCCACAUUUUCAGAGAUUGUAGUUCUGUGAUGAACUAUGAUUUAUCUAGAUUGGUAUAUGAGAGUCUCCUUGACAAUAUUAAGAAGUUUAAGGAUUCUAUGAAGGUUGCUUCUAUGAGAUCAAUGACAUUUGGCGGUUGUCACUACGCAUUCGCUGUCGAUUUUACAGUGUAA